UGGGGAAUAUUGGACAAUGGGGGCAACCCUGAUCCAGCAAUGCCGCGUGUGUGAAGAAGGUCUUCGGAUUGUAAAGCACUUUCGACGGGGACGAUGAUGACGGUACCCGUAGAAGAAGCCCCGGCUAACUUCGUGCCAGCAGCCGCGGUAAUACGAAGGGGGCUAGCGUUGCUCGGAAUGACUGGGCGUAAAGGGCGUGUAGGCGGUUUACACAGUCAGAUGUGAAAUCCCCGGGCUUAACCUGGGAGCUGCAUUUGAUACGUGUAGACUAGAGUGUGAGAGAGGGUUUAUGGAAUUCCCAGUGUAGAG
rnacentral:rRNA from 1 species